rnacentral:rRNA from 1 species
GGGUACACGAGCGGCGAACGGGUGAGUAACACGUGGGUGAUCUGCCUCGCACUCUGGGAUAAGCCUGGGAAACUGGGUCUAAUACCGGAUAUGACCUUACAUCGCAUGGUGUUUGGUGGAAAGAUUUAUCGGUGCGAGAUGGGCCCGCGGCCUAUCAGCUUGUUGGUGGGGUAAUGGCCUACCAAGGCGACGACGGGUAGCCGGCCUGAGAGGGCGACCGGCCACACUGGGACUGAGACACGGCCCAGACUCCUACGGGAGGCAGCAGUGGGGAAUAUUGCACAAUGGGCGAAAGCCUGAUGCAGCGACGCCGCGUGAGGGAUGACGGCCUUCGGGUUGUAAACCUCUUUCGACAGGGACGAAGCGCAAGUGACGGUACCUGUAGAAGAAGCACCGGCCAACUACGUGCCAGCAGCCGCGGUAAUACGUAGGGUGCGAGCGUUGUCCGGAAUUACUGGGCGUAAAGAGCUUGUAGGCGGCUUGUCGCGUCGAUCGUGAAAACUUGGGGCUCAACCCCAAGCUUGCGGUCGAUACGGGCAGGCUUGAGUACUUCAGGGGAGACUGGAAUUCCUGGUGUAGCGGUGAAAUGCGCAGAUAUCAGGAGGAACACCGGUGGCGAAGGCGGGUCUCUGGGAAGUAACUGACGCUGAGAAGCGAAAGCGUGGGUAGCGAACAGGAUUAGAUACCCUGGUAGUCCACGCCGUAAACGGUGGGUACUAGGUGUGGGUUUCCUUCCACGGGAUCCGUGCCGUAGCUAACGCAUUAAGUACCCCGCCUGGGGAGUACGGCCGCAAGGCUAAAACUCAAAGGAAUUGACGGGGGCCCGCACAAGCGGCGGAGCAUGUGGAUUAAUUCGAUGCAACGCGAAGAACCUUACCUGGGUUUGACAUACACCGGAAACCUGCAGAGAUGUAGGCCCCCUUGUGGUCGGUGUACAGGUGGUGCAUGGCUGUCGUCAGCUCGUGUCGUGAGAUGUUGGGUUAAGUCCCGCAACGAGCGCAACCCUUAUCUUAUGUUGCCAGCGCGUAAUGGCGGGGACUCGUGAGAGACUGCCGGGGUCAACUCGGAGGAAGGUGGGGACGACGUCAAGUCAUCAUGCCCCUUAUGUCCAGGGCUUCACACAUGCUACAAUGGCCGGUACAGAGGGCUGCGAUACCGUGAGGUGGAGCGAAUCCCUUAAAGCCGGUCUCAGUUCGGAUCGGGGUCUGCAACUCGACCCCGUGAAGUUGGAGUCGCUAGUAAUCGCAGAUCAGCAACGCUGCGGUGAAUACGUUCCCGGGCCUUGUACACACCGCCCGUCACGUCAUGAAAGUCGGUAACACCCGAAGCCGGU